rnacentral:rRNA from 1 species
AGGAGUUUGAUCCUGGCUCAGAAUGAACGCUGGCGGCGUGCCUAACACAUGCAAGUCGAACGAGAAAGUGGACUUCGGUCCACAAGUAAAGUGGCAUACGGGUGAGUAACACGUGGGUAAUCUGCCCGGAGGCGGGGGACAACUCUUCGAAAGGAGAGCUAAUACCGCAUAAUAUCCUGAGGACCUCGGUCCAUGGGAUCAAAGUUUGCCUCUGUUUCAUGCAAACACCACCGGAGGAACCCGCGCCCCAUUAGCUUGAUGGUGAGGUAACGGCUCACCAUGGCUACGAUGGGUAGCCGGCCUGAGAGGGUGAUCGGCCACACUGGAACUGAGACACGGUCCAGACUCCUACGGGAGGCAGCAGUGAGGAAUUUUGCGCAAUGGGCGAAAGCCUGACGCAGCGACGCCGCGUGGAGGACGAAGGCCUUCGGGUCGUAAACUCCUGUCAAGAGGGACGAAUCCCUGACGGAUGAAUAAGCCGGUAGGUUGACGGUACCUCUGAAGGAAGCCCCGGCUAACUCCGUGCCAGCAGCCGCGGUAAUACGGAGGGGGCAAGCGUUGUUCGGAAUUAUUGGGCGUAAAGGGCACGCAGGCGGCUAAGCAAGUUGGUGGUGAAAGCCCUCGGCUCAACCGAGGAAUUGCCCCCAAAACUGCCUAGCUUGAGUCCCGGAGAGGGUGACGGAAUUCCCAGUGUAGCGG